GUCGGGAAUUUUGGGCAAUGGGCGAAAGCCUGACCCAGCAACGCCGCGUGAAGGAUGAAGUAUUUCGGUAUGUAAACUUCGAAAGAAUGGGAAGAAUCAAUGACGGUACCAUUUAUAAGGUCCGGCUAACUACGUGCCAGCAGCCGCGGUAAUACGUAGGGACCAAGCGUUGUUCGGAUUUACUGGGCGUAAAGGGCGCGUAGGCGGCUUAACAAGUCACUUGUGAAAUCUCCGGGCUUAACUCGGAACGGCCAAGUGAAACUGUCAAGCUAGAGUGCAGAAGGGGCAAUCGGAAUUCUUGGUGUAGCGGUGAAAUGCGUAGAUAUCAAGAGGAACACCUGAGGUGAAGACGGGUUGCUGGGCUGACACUGACGCUGAGGCGCGAAAGCCAGGGGAGCAAACGGGAUUAGAUACCCGUGUAGUCC
rnacentral:rRNA from 1 species